rnacentral:tRNA from 1 species
GCCGGAGUGGCGAAAUUGGCAGACGCCCGAGACUUAAAAUCCCGUGAGACUAACAUCUCGUACCGGUUCGAGCCCGGUUUCCGGCACCA